UGCCCUGCCAGGGCUCCUGGUGUGCUAUGGAGAAAGGGGCAGAGCUGGAGGUGCGAGCUGGCCAGAGCCUGUCCCUGGCAGCACUGGGGAGGCUGCCAGGAAGGCAGAGCGUGGCGUCCUGAGGGCAGAAAGUCAAGUGCUGGUCUAAGCAGAAAGGGAAACCGACACCUUAGCAGCUCAGGGGUGGCGGUGGGUCCUGCAGGCACACAGCCCUGCAGUCUGGCACAAAGAGACGACUGGGCUUUAAGUCCGGGCUCGGCUCUGAACUGCGUGUGAUCUUCAGGCAAAUUAAUGCCUCUCUCUGGAUCCACUUCAUGCCAUCUUACAUUUUAGGCCUUCCUUCUUGGGUCUUCGCCUUUCUUGAAAUACAAAGAACCUUGAAAAUACCCUUUAGUGCUGAGUUCUCGGUGGUAAAUUCCUUUCUUUUAUUGCUAACGUCUUUAUUUCAUCCUCGUUCUUGACAGGCACAAUUUUAGGUUAACGGUUAUCUUCUCUGCCUACUCUGAAGCUAUCAGUCUAGUGUUUCGGAGCCUCCGUCUGGCUGCAGAAAAGCCAGCUGUCCUUCUCACUGUUGUUUCUUUGCAGGUGAGUGUGGGCUGGUGUAACACUACUGAAGUCCUGGAGCUCCAGACACGAGGCAAGCCCAGCUCAUUUGCAAGCUCUGUUCCACUGGGCCAUUACCAGCCAGGCACACAGGACUGAGCAAGGACAAGAAAGUCCCUGUAAGGGCAACAGCCGCUCACGACGAGGACAAUGCUCUUAGCAAGCCGAACAUCCAGGGACGCCCAGAAACUCACUGUACAAGCCUGACCGGAGGCAGUGGACGGGGCUGGCACAGAUUUUCAAAGUAUGUAAAUAAAAGUAGUA